rnacentral:rRNA from 1 species
GCGGCAUGCUUAACACAUGCAAGUCGAACGGUUUUGCAGUGCUUGCACUGUAAGAUAGUGGCGGACGGGUGAGUAACGCGUGGGUAGCUACCUUUAAGUACGGAAUACCAUUCGGACACGAAUGUUAAUACCGUAUGUUUCCUGAGGGAAAAAGAUUUAUCGCCAGAAGAUCGGCCCGCGUCUGAUUAGCGAGUUGGUGGGGUAACGGCCCACCAAGGCUACGAUCAGUAGCUGGUCUGAGAGGAUGAUCAGCCACACUGGGACUGAGACACGGCCCAGACUCCUACGGGAGGCAGCAGUUAGGAAUCUUGGACAAUGGGCGCAAGCCUGAUCCAGCCAUGCCGCGUGAGUGAUGAAGGCCUUAGGGUUGUAAAAUUCUUUCACCGGGGACGAUAAUGACGGUACCCGGAGAAGAAGCUCCGGCUAACUUCGUGCCAGCCGCCGCGGUAAAAC